rnacentral:rRNA from 1 species
GUGUAAGAUAUUCUAGAGUUUGAUCAUGGCUCAGGAUGAACGCUGGCGGCGUGCCUAAUACAUGCAAGUCGAGCGAAUGGAUUAAGAGCUUGCUCUUAUGAAGUUAGCGGCGGACGGGUGAGUAACACGUGGGUAACCUGCCCAUAAGACUGGGAUAACUCCGGGAAACCGGGGCUAAUACCGGAUAACAUUUUGAACUGCAUGGUUCGAAAUUGAAAGGCGGCUUCGGCUGUCACUUAUGGAUGGACCCGCGUCGCAUUAGCUAGUUGGUGAGGUAACGGCUCACCAAGGCAACGAUGGUAGCGGCCUGAGAGGUGAUCGGCCACACUGGGACUGAGACACGGCCCAGAUUCCUACGGGAAGCAGCAGUAGGGAUCUUCCGCAAUGGACGAAAGUCUGACGGAGCAACGCCGCGUGAGUGAUGAAGGCUUUCGGGUCGUAAAACUCUGUUGUUAGGGAAGAACAAGUGCUAGUUGAAUAAGCUGGCACCUUGACGGUACCUAACCAGAAAGCCACGGCUAACUACGUGCCAGCAGCCGCGGUAAUACGUAGGUGGCAAGCGUUAUCCGGAAUUAUUGGGCGUAAAGCGCGCGCAGGUGGUUUCUUAAGUCUGAUGUGAAAGCCCACGGCUCAACCGUGGAGGGUCAUUGGAAACUGGGAGACUUGAGUGCAGAAGAGGAAAGUGGAAUUCCAUGUGUAGCGGUGAAAUGCGUAGAGAUAUGGAGGAACACCAGUGGCGAAGGCGACUUUCUGGUCUGUAACUAACACUGAGGCGCGAAAGCGUGGGGAGCAAACAGGAUUAGAUACCCUGGUAGUCCACGCCGUAAACGAUGAGUGCUAAGUGUUAGAGGGUUUCCGCCCUUUAGUGCUGAAGUUAACGCAUUAAGCACUCCGCCUGGGGAGUACGGCCGCAAGGCUGAAACUCAAAGGAAUUGACGGGGGCCCGCACAAGCGGUGGAGCAUGUGGUUUAAUUCGAAGCAACGCGAAGAACCUUACCAGGUCUUGACAUCCUCUGAAAGCCCUAGAGAUAGGGCUUCUCCUUCGGGAGCAGAGUGACAGGUGGUGCAUGGUUGUCGUCAGCUCGUGUCGUGAGAUGUUGGGUUAAGUCCCGCAACGAGCGCAACCCUUGAUCUUAGUUGCCAUCAUUAAGUUGGGCACUCUAAGGUGACUGCCGGUGACAAACCGGAGGAAGGUGGGGAUGACGUCAAAUCAUCAUGCCCCUUAUGACCUGGGCUACACACGUGCUACAAUGGACGGU